rnacentral:lncRNA from 1 species
CACGAUCCUAAUACUGACCUAGUUAUCUGUGCGUUUAUUGUCUGUCUCCUUGAUUAGGAUAUAAACUUCUUGAGCACAGAGCUCUUGUCUUCCAUCUUUGCUCUAGUGCUCUAGUAUUUAUAGAAUGAAUUAGUGCUGGAGCACAGUACAUUUCACCGUCUCUGUGUGUCUGACUCUGGGGGAGGGACAGGAGGUGCAAAGCAAAGAGCUUUUGUUUUCAGUAGGCUGGCUCAUAGUGGGGGAGACAGAUGCUACCAUGGUGCAGAGUGAUAAAAUUCUGACUUAGAACAUAGGGUCUCUUAGGAAGACAGAGAGCUCACCCAGCCUGGAAGGAGGUGGGGGUCAGGGAAGUUCAACACUUGCAUUGAGUCCUGAAAGCCAGCAAAAGUUUGCCAGGCAAAGGAUGUUGGGGAAUGACCCUCUACGGAAGCACAGGUGCCAAAGCAAGGUGGGGAGAGAGUGGGAGAUGGAAGGAGCACAGAAGUAGCUGGAGCCUGGUGUGCAAGGAAAGCCCGCGGGAAGGGCUGACCCCAUGGCAGAGCGGCUGGCUGUCCCUGGCCGGGGGUGGCUUUACUUCCUCCAGCUCCAGGCCAACACUCAGACUUCAAGACGCUGCAGGGCCUCUGAAGAAAAGGAAGAAAGGCAGAAGAGAGGAAGCUGUGGCUGCAAGUCUUGGAAAUGCGGAACACAAGGGCAUAUUGAACAACCGGAGAUCAAAGAGGCCAGUGGAAAUGCAGCCAGCAUGAAAAGCCAGGCCAAUUCCCUUAGGAUGGGACAGCGAUGUUCUGCACCUGUUAUCUAGAAAAUCUUCUGAAAUGCACACAAUGAAAAUGUCCUAUGCUUUGGUUCAAGUCCUUUUACAAUAGCUAGAGAAUCUGGAAAGACUCAAACUCUCUUUCUCAUGUUACUUCAAAAUUCUAGCACAAAUGGUUGGCCAGUCAUAUCAUGCCAUACAAAAAGCACUGUCCCUAUAAUCAUAUUUUCUGAUGAGUCCUGGUACAUGCUCUCAGGAGCUCAUUUCACUUGGCAUCUACUCAUUCAUGUUUUUACUUCUGUCUUAUGUGGUACCAUUCACAUCAGGUGCAUCCUUCAUGUCAGAUACCUGCACCCCUAUGUUUGGCCCCCUCUAGAUCCAAGCCAUUUCACCUGGUGUCACGUAGAAACAAAUGAAUGGUAUGUAGCUAAUUGACCCCUGCAGGACAUUGAAUAUUUAGAAGACAACUCUCACUCCCUUCAAAGGAGCAACUUAAUAAAAUCUUAUUGUAGCAUUAGCUCUCA